GACGAACGCUGGCGGCGUGCUUAACACAUGCAAGUCGAACGGAAAGGCCCUGCUUUUGUGGGGUGCUCGAGUGGCGAACGGGUGAGUAACGCGUGAGUAACCUGCCCUUGACUUUGGGAUAACUUCAGGAAACUGGGGCUAAUACCGGAUAGGAGCUCCUGCUGCAUGGUGGGGGUUGGAAAGUUUCGGCGGUUGGGGAUGGACUCGCGGCUUAUCAGCUUGUUGGUGGGGUAGUGGCUUACCAAGGCUUUGACGGGUAGCCGGCCUGAGAGGGUGACCGGCCACAUUGGGACUGAGAUACGGCCCAGACUCCUACGGGAGGCAGCAGUGGGGAAUAUUGCACAAUGGGCGGAAGCCUGAUGCAGCAACGCCGCGUGCGGGAUGACGGCCUUCGGGUUGUAAACCGCUUUCGCCUGUGACGAAGCGUGAGUGACGGUAAUGGGUAAAGAAGCACCGGCUAACUACGUGCCAGCAGCCGCGGUGAUACGUAGGGUGCGAGCGUUGUCCGGAUUUAUUGGGCGUAAAGGGCUCGUAGGUGGUUGAUCGCGUCGGAAGUGUAAUCUUGGGGCUUAACCCUGAGCGUGCUUUCGAUACGGGUUGACUUGAGGAAGGUAGGGGAGAAUGAAAUUCCUGGUGGAGCGGUGGAAUGCGCAGAUAUCAGGAGGAACACCAGUGGCGAAGGCGGUUCUCUGGGCCUUUCCUGACGCUGAGGAGCGAAAGCGUGGGGAGCGAACAGGCUUAGAUACCCUGGUAGUCCACGCUGUAAACGGUGGGUACUAGGUGUGGGGUCCAUUCCACGGGUUCCGUGCCGUAGCUAACGCUUUAAGUACCCCGCCUGGGGAGUACGGCCGCAAGGCUAAAACUCAAAGGAAUUGACGGGGCCCCGCACAAGCGGCGGAGCAUGCGGAUUAAUUCGAUGCAACGCGUAGAACCUUACCUGGGUUUGACAUGGAUCGGGAGUGCUCAGAGAUGGGUGUGCCUCUUUUGGGGUCGGUUCACAGGUGGUGCAUGGCUGUCGUCAGCUCGUGUCGUGAGAUGUUGGGUUAAGUCCCGCAACGAGCGCAACCCUUGUUCACUGUUGCCAGCACGUUAUGGUGGGGACUCAGUGGAGACCGCCGGGGUCAACUCGGAGGAAGGUGGGGAUGACGUCAAGUCAUCAUGCCCCUUAUGUCCAGGGCUUCACGCAUGCUACAAUGGCUGGUACAGAGAGUGGCGAGCCUGUGAGGGUGAGCGAAUCUCGGAAAGCCGGUCUCAGUUCGGAUUGGGGUCUGCAACUCGACCUCAUGAAGUCGGAGUCGCUAGUAAUCGCAGAUCAGCAACGCUGCGGUGAAUACGUUCCCGGGGCU
rnacentral:rRNA from 1 species